AUUGAACGCUGGCGGCAGGCCUAACACAUGCAAGUCGAACGAGUGGCGGACGGGUGAGUAAUGUCUGGGAAACUGCAUGAUGGCGGGGGAUAACUACUCGAAACGGUAGCUAAUACCGCAUACCAUCGGAUGUGCCCAGAUGGGAUUAGCUAGUAGGUGGAGUAAAGGCUAACCUAGGCGACGAUCCCUAGCUGGUCUGAGCGGAUGACCAGCCACACUGUAACUGAGACACGGCCCAGACUCCUACGUGAGGCAGCAGUGGGGAAUAUUGCACAAUGGGCGAAAGCCUGAGGCAGCCAUCCCGCGUGUAUGAAGAAGGCCUUCGGGUUGUAAAGUACUUUCAGCGGGGAGGCGUUACCCGCAGAAGAAGCACCGGCUAACUCCGUGCCAGCCGCCGCGGUAAUUC
rnacentral:rRNA from 1 species